CAUUAAAAUACAUUGACAUAGAUCCCACUGAAACCCCUCAGAUUCUUAGGCGGUGAAAACCUUGAAACACAAAUCUUAAAAGAUCGUAAACACAAAACAAAUCCUGUUAUCAAUUUCAGAAACCUUAAACCCUAGCUGAGUGUGCUCCAUGGCGUCCCGUCACGGAGCAUUUUCAUUUUCAAGGAAUGCGAGGUCUGCUUUUAACUCAUUUAGAAAUUCUUCUUCCACUGCACCUCGAACCACUAGGGCUGCUCGUAGGACGAGAAAUCUGUUCGAAAAUGCCAGCGGAAGUACGACCAGGCGAAGAUUUGCAGAAACAAUGAUCCCCCUGCACAAUGCGGUUGCAUCUGCGAAACUCGUCACCCAGCUAAGCGUCAGCUCCCGGAGUUCUCGUGCGCUCUCUCUUGCUCUUCAGGGUUAUUUUUAUGCUUCUUAUCAAUUUAUGCCAAGUGUCAGAGGCAAAAUUUCAAUUCUAUGACCAAUGACUGUGUUGGAAGUUGAUUCAGUCAAGGCAUGUAUCAAAUCCCUUUGAUGAUAUCUAUUGACAUUCGGUGUUUGGACGUUUGACUGGAUUGAUGGGACAUAAGCAGUGAAUCCUUGUGACCAUACAGGAAAAUGAAUAAUUUUUAUUUUGACUAAAUACAAUAGUGAACUAUUGAUUCCUGUAGUGAGAAAUUUAUUAACAUUUUAGAUUGCUUUCUGGACUAAAGCCUAAGAGAUGAAAAAAAUACAUUGGCCUCUGCAUCUGAAGUCAAGCUUAAGAGGGUUUCUUUACAUAUACAGGGCAACUCCAAUCCUUGAGGUUUUUUUGAUUUGUAGAAGAGGGAAUCUAUUUAUCGUACGAUUGAGAUAUUCUUCAAGGGAGCAUUCAGGUUUCGUGUAUCAUCUCUCUUCAAAAGUAAUCAUUGGUGGUGGAAAUAAUCAUUUAAAAUAAACAAAAAUUCUGUUCUCUGUGGUUUCUAGGUUUUAUGUGCUAUAACAACUAAUAUUUCUUACUCUCA